GAUGAACGCUGGCGGCGUGCCUAAUACAUGCAAGUCGAGCGAACGGACGAGAAGCUUGCUUCUCUGAUGUUAGCGGCGGACGGGUGAGUAACACGUGGAUAACCUACCUAUAAGACUGGGAUAACUUCGGGAAACCGGAGCUAAUACCGGAUGAUAUUUUGAACCGCAUGGUUCAAAAGUGAAAGACGGUCUUGCUGUCACUUAUCGAUGGAUCCGCGCUGCAUUAGCUAGUUGGUACGGUAACGGCUUACCAAGGCAACGAUGCAUAGCCGACCUGAGAGGCUGGUAGGCCACACUGGAACGGAGACACGGUCCAGACUCCUACGGGAGGCAGCAGUAGGGAAUCGGCCGCAAUGGGCGAAAGCCUGACGGAGCAACGCCGCGUGAGUGAUGAAGGUCUUCGGAUCGUAAAACUCUGUUAUUAGGGAAGAACAUAUGUGUAAGUAACUGUGCACAUCUUGACGGUACCUGAUCAGAAAGCCACGGCUAACUACGUG
rnacentral:rRNA from 1 species